CGGACGGGUGAGUAAUGUCCGGGAAACUGCCUGAUGGAGGGGGAUAACUACUGGAAACGGUAGCUAAUACCGCAUAACGUCUUCGGACCAAAGUGGGGGACCUUCGGGCCUCACGCCAUCGGAUGUGCCCAGAUGGGAUUAGCUAGUAGGUGGGGUAAUGGCUCACCUAGGCGACGAUCCCUAGCUGUCUGAGAGGAUGACCAGCCACACUGGAACUGAGACACGGUCCAG
rnacentral:rRNA from 1 species